AGUACAGCCAGAAUGCUCCUUAGAAGGAAGGAUGGUGAGAUUUUCUUACGCACUUUGGACAUGUUAUCAGGAGGCACUGGUCCCUCGAGAAGGACAUCUUGCGUGGUAAAGUAAAGGGUUGGUGAAAAGAGAGAGACCUUUAAGAAGAUGGGUUGACACACUGAGUGCAAUACUAGUCUCAAAGAUAGCAGCCUUUGUGAGGAUGGCGCAGGAUCGGCAGUGUUUCCAUCUGUACAAAGGGGCGCCGUGAGUCAGAAUCCACUGGAUAGCACAUAACAACAAAAACACAAGUAGAUGAGUUGAACUGGGGGAAUCACCACCCUGCAUCCUUCAAGUCUUUGAUGGUGGCAGUUAUCUCUAUAAUUCCUCCAGGAAUGCGGUACUGCUUUUGGUUUACUAUUUUCCUAGAUAGGCAGUUCUAAUGGUUUCCCCUUGGCUUUUCCUACCAUAAUAGCCCUUACUCCACUUGUCUGGAAUCCACAAAGGUAGUUCUGCAAGUUGUUGGGUAUUCCAAUUCCAAUUAUGUGUUUAGGAACUGGGGAAAUCACUACGUGAUGGAUUCAGGGACCCACUGAAUCCACUGUGAAAUGAACCAGAGCUAUGGCUCCAUUAAGAACCUGACUUCCGUACAACCGCUUUCUGACCGGUGGGCCACAGUGACAUCUAGGGUCUCCUGGAUUCAGUGUCAGUUCAGAGGCAGUAUCCAGUAAUUCUUACGCUUGUACAGAUCAAGUAACUACUCGAUAGACUUCCCAUCUAUUUCACUCCUAGGGACACCAUGACUAAGUAGCCAAUGCCAUGAGUCCAUAGGAGUCAGGCUACUCUCAUUACUGCUUUGACUCCACUGUCCAUUAUGUGAACCACACCUACCUUGUUCUUGUCCAUUGAGUCACCCGCAUGGCCCCUAACACCGUGGGGUCCAAUCAGCCCCAUUGUAGUUUGGUGUCUUAAUUCAGUUAGGGCAUCUCCCAUUGUGAGAUCUGACUUCCAUAAAAUAACAAUCACAGCAGUCUUCAAGGAUGCUGGGGCUCCCUUCACAAAUUUAUUCCUCACCAUUGCGGUAAAAGGUGUGUCCUCUGAGCAUUCCAUGUGUGGGUCUGUGGGUCUAAGCCGAGAAAUCCACUCUAACAUGCCAGUUUCCCUAAGCCUUUGGAUACCUUCUUCUACUGUGAAAUCAAGGCGGGUCUGGCACUUCAGCUGGGUUUAGUGUGGGCCACCGCUUAAUCUGUGCUUCACUGAAUCAGUCACAUAAACUAUUAAAUCCUUUCCUAAGCUCUCUAGCUGAAACACUGGAUGAAGGAUCUGUGCUUAGUGGACCCAUAUCAAUGAACUCAGGCUGAGGCAACUUUAUGUUCCUUGCACCAUUAUCCCACACCCAUAAUAGCAAUUCCCACACGUAGUCUCCAGGCUUUUGUUUGUAUGUAUUAGAAAAGUCAAGCAGUUCUUUUUCUUUUGGAGUGUAGUGUACCUCCCCCUGGAUCACAUUUUGUGCUUUACCUUUGAGGAUAGCAGGGACUUCAGUCUAGUUAUAGGCCUAGAAGCAACAAUGGGUGUUGGGAAUGUGUCUGGAGAACAUUCAGCAAUGUCUUGUAAGACAUCUGCCUUAAGGGAUGAUGCCCCAGGCAGUGACUCAGACAUCACCCUAGUGGACGACUGAGACAAAGGCUCUUCAGACACAACUGGGUUAAUCUCAGCAGAUGGGGGUCUGAGGGGCUAACAGUUUUCCUGGGGAGGGUGGUUUAGCAGCCAAACAUGGAGUAAUCCCUUCAGGCGGGAGCUGCUAUUUGGUGAUGGCCUUGCUAUUCCUCAAUGAAACUCAUUUUCUUUCACUCCUAAUAGAGUGUGGGAUUUUGUUCUUCAACAACACAAACAAACAGAAAACAUGACCAGAGCCUUUGCAGCAGCAAAUUAGCUAGGAGAAGAUUAUAAUGUAAUGCUUUCAAGUUCUGAUUUAAAGUAGAAUUCUAACCCAGACAAAAUGUGAGGGCAAUCAAGGCAUUUCCAGACAAGUAAGUAAGAACUUAAACAUCUACUUGCAAGGCAUGCACCUUGAGGAAACUGUUGGAGAAAGGAAAUCAGCACAAAGGACUGAUGAGAAAAAAAAAAAAAAAAAAAGACUGUUUAGGCAUAGAAAAUAAAAACAGGCAUCUGAUCUGUCUGUAAAGAGACUAAAGUAACUCUAAGCGCUCAAUGUAGUCUUUCACCUUAGGUUUGGCGUUGGCUGUCUAGCAGCUCCAGGUAAGCUUUCCCCCAGGUUCUACCCUCCUUCCCUAGGAAUCAACCCAUCACCAUGAAGGAAAUGAGUUGCUUUGCGGAUCAAGCUAAAGAAUGUGAAGACUUAAGGCAAACUUUUGGUAUCAGCCUCCUCAGGUUUCUGACAUGUCCAGCAAAGUGAGAGAUCAUGGAAACUCCUUGUUUCCAUUCUCAUCUGGAGAGCUAACAUUCUGAGCAACGUGAUUGUUAACCAACCAGUCUUGAGAAUAUCCGUCCUGUGGCUGCUUUGUAACCAAGGUGAAACCCCCUUGACCUCCUGUCUUUCAAUUGUGUCUUGUAGCCAGUCAAUCGGCUCACGUAAGCAAUAAUGACAACGAUUGUGCUUUACUUGUCGCGUCUUUGAUUGACCUUCGUCACUGUGAACCAACAAGAAAAACUGUAAUUUUAUUCUCCCCCUUCAGCACUCUGAUUACUCCUGAUUUGCCUUCUUCCCGUGAGAUUCCGGAACGUCAGCCUGAGACUUUGCGAUCUCCCACUGCCACGUCUCCGCUGCAAUAAAUCUCUUUCGAUUUUACCUUAAGGGAGCUGGGAAGUCUUUUCUCUCCAACAUUUUGGCGUAGUUAAUCGGCAGGGUUUUUGGAGUUACCCUUCCCCCGGAGACCCGAAGACCUGAAACACGGGAUUCCGGCACCAAGGGCCCCUUUGUGUGCCCCUCGCUGCAGCUUUUUCGGACCCUUCUGGCUGUCUGGGGGGAGAAGGGAGCAGAGAGACUGGAGGACUUCAUUACCACCAAGCAGAAGAGCCAGGAGCAUUUGCUUUGAACCAGGGGCCCCUGCACUGAGAAGCUGCUAGAUCUGGGGAAGACUGAUGACAAGGACCUUCUCCCAGAGCCAACAGAGAGAGAAAGACUUUCCUAGGAGCUGACGCCCUGAAUUCAGACUUCUAGUCUCCUAGACUGUGAGAGAAUAAAUUACUCUUUGUAAAAGCCAUCCACGUGUGGUAUUUCUGUUGUAACAACACUAGAUGACUCAAAUAAAACAUGGGUAAAGAACUUGAAUAGACAUUGCUCCCAAGAAAAAUAUACAAAUGUCCAAUAACCACAUGAAAGUAUGCUCAAUAUCUUUUGUCAUUGUUGCUGUUGUUGUUAGGUGCCCGUGAGUCAGUCAGUUCCAACUCAUAGUGACCCUACGAACAACAAAAGAAAACACUGCCUGGUCCUAUACCAUCCUCACAACCACUGUUAUGCUUGGGCCCAUUGUUGCAGCCACUCUGACAAUCCAUCUCAUUGAGGGUCUUCUUUCUUGCUAAUCCUCUACUUUAGCAAGCAUGAUGUCCUUUUCCAGGGACUGAUCCCUCCUGAUAACAUGUCCAAAGUAAAUGAGACUUAGUCUUGCCAUCUUAGCCUCCAAGACGCAUUCUGGUUGUACUUCUUCCAAGACAGAUUUCUUUGUCCUUUUGGCAGUCCAUGGUUUAUUCGAUACUGUUUGCCAAAAGCAUAAUUGAAAAGUAUCAAUUCUUCUUUGAUCUUCCUUAUUAAUUGUCCAGCUUUCACAUGCAUAUGAGAAGAUUGAAACACAAUGGCUUGGGUCACACACACCAUAGUCUUCAAGGCAACGUCUUUGCUUUUCAACACUUAAAGAGUGUUCUAAGUUUUUUUUUUUUUUUUUGCAUCAGAUUUGCCCAGUGCAAUCCGACAUUUGAUUUCUUGACUGCUACUUCCAUGGGUGUUGAUUGUGAAUCCAUGUGAAGCGAAAUCCUUGACAAUUUCAAUCUUUUUUUUUUUUUUAUCAUGAUGUUGCUUAUUGGUCCAUUUGUGAGGAUUUUUGUUGUAUGUUGAGGUGUGAUCAAUCCAUACUGAAGGCUGUGGUCUUUGGUCUUCAUCAGUAAGUGCUUCAAGUACUCUUCACUUUCAGCAAGCAAGGUUGUAUCAUCGGCAUAACACAGGUUGUUAGUGAAUCUUUCUCUAAUACUGAUGCCCCGUGUUUGUUCAUAUACCCCAGAUUCUCAGAUUAUUUGCUCAGCAUACAUAUUGAACAGGUCAGUCGAAAGGAUACAACCCUGACGCACACCUUUACUGACUUUAAACCACACAGCAUCCCUUUGUUCUGUUCGAAUGACUGCCAGUUGCUGUGUGUACAAGUUCUUCAUGAGCACAAUCGACUGUGCCAGAAUUUCGCAUCUUCGCAAAGUUAUCCAUAAUUUUUUAUCACCCACACAGUCGAAUGCCUUUGCAUAGUCAAUAAAACAGAGGUAAACAUCUUUCCGGUAUUCUCUGCUUUCAGCCAGGAUCCAUCUGACAUCAGCAAUGAUAUCCCUGGUUUCACGUCCUCUUCUGAAUCCAGCUUAAAUUUCUGGUAGUUCUCUGUGCAUAUACUGCUACAGCUGAUCUUCAGCAAAAAUGUACUUGGGUGUGAUAUUAAUGAUACCGUUCGAUAAUUUCUGCAUUCUGUUGGAUCACCUUUCUUGGGAAUAGGCAUAAAGAUGGUCGGCCAGGCAGCUGUCUUCCAAAUUUCUUGGCAUAGACAAGCGAGCACUUCCAGCACUGAAUCUGUUUGUUGAAGCAUCCCAGUUGAUAUUCUGUCCAUUCCUGGAGCCUUGUUUUUUGCCAGAGCCUUCAGUGCAGCUUGGACUCUCUCUCGGCUCUGGAGGAAGGUCCUUCUCCUCAAUCUUCCCAUGGACUGGGAGCUUCUUAGCACAGGAAGCCCGGAUCCAAAGCACCGUUUCUGCUCCCAGUGCUUCUUUCUUGGUGGCAUGAGGUCCCCAUUCUCUGCUGGCUUCCCUUUCUUUUUAUCUCUUGUAAAAAAGAGAAAAAAGGAUAAAAGGUGGUGCAGGCCAACUCCAGAGAAACUUCCUUUACACUGGAUCACGGAUAUGACCUUAGUAAGGGUGUUAUAAUCCCACCCUAAUCCUCUUUACCAUAAAAUUACAAUCACAAAGUAGAGGAUAACCACAAAAUACUGGGAAUCAUGGCCUAACCACGUUGACGCAUCUUUUGGGUGGACACAUUCAAUCCAUGACAUUCUGCCCAAUGGUCUCCAAAAAUUCAUGUCCUUGCUACAUGUAAGACACAUUCACCCUAUCACAUCACAUCACAGCAAAAGCCCUAAAUCAACUCCAAGUCCAAAAUCCACAAAUUCUUCUUUACCUGUGAAAUCUAGAAUACAAGUUUGUUUGCUUCCAAAGUACAAUGGCAAACCAGGCACAAACUAGAUAUUUCCAUUACAAAUGGGAGAAAUUGCAGGGAAAGUAGUGAUGACAGGAGUAAAGAAAGUCUAUAGAAUAUAUUCCAUUAGCCCUCAAGGCUGGAAAAUAAUCCUCUGUUCUCUGAGAGGAUUCACACAAUGGCCCUGCCCUCCAGACUCCAGGUAUUGGUCGCAUUCUCUGGAUUCUGAGUCGAGGCCCCUGGGCCCUGGGCUUUAGCUCCGACUUUCAGGCCCAGGCAAUAAGACUUACCAAAAUAAAAUUAAAAACAUACAUAAAUGGAUGGAAAAGGUAUAAUAUGCAAACACCAAACAAAAGAAUGUUCGACUUGCUUUGCUCAUACCAAAUAACAUAGGUUUCAGAGUAAAAGUAUAUUAGCAUAAACAGACGGAGAAUAAAAACAAUAAAAGGGUUAAUUCACCUAGAAAAUAUAAUAACCCUAUGGCAGCGGAUUUUUUUUUUCUUUUCUUGGUUUAAAAGUCUAUGUCUCUAUUACGAGAGAUUCAAAAUACAAUGAAAAAAAAAAAAACUAAUGGGAGGAGGAGCCAAGAUGGCGGACUCGACAGACACAUCCUUGGCGCCCUCUUUACAACAAAGACCCGAAAAAACAAGUGAAAGAGUAUAUUUGUAACAAGCUGGGAGCCUUGAGCAUCAAAGGCAAGCUUAGACAACAAACUGAGGGGUAGGGGAAGGAAGGGACCUUUCAGAAGCGGAGAGGAGUUGCCGGCCCUGAAUCGUGGGGAGCCCUCAGGCACCAUUCCCGGAGCAGCGGAGGUGGCAGCGGCGGGUGGGUCCUAGCGUUUGGCCGCAGUCUCCUCGGGGAGAAGCAGCAGCCACACAGCCCACUCACACCUCCAGAACCUGAACAGAAGGGCACUCUCCGCAAAAGCUAAGUACUUGCGGAUAUUUUACUGAGCCCCCCCACCCCCACGCCAGCUACAGCGGCUGAAUCCCUAGGCCUGAGAUAGACCCUGGUGAGCACCUGGAGCCGUCCUCCUGGCCUUGGGGAAGGAAAAAAAAUGCAACUGGGGGGAAGAGGUAAUUUGCUAGCUCCAUUAACUGGGGAAUCUCAGGACAGAAGCGACUCCCGUCCAGGCAUAAACCGUCUGUGGACCUUGAGCACCUUUCCCUUCUUCAUGGACCUGUGUGGGCCUAUUUCGGGAGAAUAGGCCCUUGUUGGCAAAGUCCAAGCAUUUCAGCGGUGCCGUGGAGAGGUGGGCGUUUGAUGUUUGACAUUGCUUUGCCUAUUAAACAGGGUCCUCACCUACCCACAUCAGGGACCUGAGGACUGGUAGCUCCACUCAGGUCACCCAGCCACCCGCGACAGGGGUCCAAAGAUAACUGGUACCUCCCACUCCUUACAACCUGAAACUUUGGGUGCCCAUGGUCCGUCUGCAGGACCCACCCUCCAGCAUGCUCUAGGGAACAGAGAUGCGUUUUUCUCAGAGACACUUGGGGGUCAGUUCUUAGUCCCCUGCCUUGUUCAGAGCUUGAGCCUCUGCUGCAAUCAGAUACCGGUAUCUACGCCAAUCACCCCUGCCCCUCUAAGACUGCAGGACAGAGCCUGUACCACACACUUGAUGAUCAGCUACCUGGAAACCUGAGCUGAAUUCAUACAAGAAAACUGAAUGGACUCCUAGACUGAUAUACCUGAUAACACAUCUAGCCAGCUGGAGACAGGACACCAGAGUUCCAAAGCUGAAAACAAUCAAGUUAGCUCACUCAAGCAACCCAUAGCGGUAUACCAAAACAAAACAAAGCAAGCAGCUACGACACAGGAAGCAAGCAUAAACUAAGACAAUAACUUAUAGAUGGCUCGGAGACAACAGUCAAUAUCAAGUCAGGUAAAGAAACAGACCAUGAUCACCUCAACAGGCUCUCAGAACAAAGAAUCCAGGGAUCUUCUAGAUGAAAGUGCAUUCCUGGAAUUACCAGAUGCAGAAUACAAAAGUUUAAUACACAGAACACUUUAGGACAUCAGGAAGGAAAUGAGGUAAUACACAGAACGAGCCAAGGAACACACAGAUAAAGCAACUGAAGAAAUUAGAAAGAUUAUUCAGGAACAUUAUGAAAAGUUUUAUAAGCUGGGAAAAUCCAUAGACACACAACAAUAAGGAAUUCAGAAGAUUAACAAUAAAAUUACAGAUUUAGACAACUCCGUGGAAAGUCAGAGGAGCAGAAUUGAGCAAGUAGAAGCUAAAAUUUCUGAACUCGAAGUUAAAUCACUUGGCACUAAUAUAUUUGAAGAAAAAUCAGAUAAAAGAAUUGAGAAAAAUGAAGAAACCUUAAGAAUCAUGUAUGUGGGACUCUAUCAAGAGAAAUAAGCUACGAGUGAUUGGAGUACCAAACAGGGAGGGAUAACAGAAAAUAUAGAGAAAAUUGCUGAAGAUUUGUUGGCAGAAAACUUUCCAGAUGUUGUGAAAGAUGACAGGAUAUCUAUCCAAGAUGCUCAUCGAACUCCACGUAAGGUGGAUGUUAAAAGAAAGUCACCAAGCCAUAUUAUAAUCAAACUUGCCAAAACCAAAGAUGAAGAGAGAACUAUAAGAGCAGUGAGGGAUAAACAAAAAGUCACCUACAAAGACAGCCAAUAAGAAUAACCUCGGACUACUCGGCAGAAACCAUGCAGGCAAGAAGGCAAUGGGAUGAUAAAUUUAAAAAAUGGAAGGAAAAAAAUUGCCUGCAAACAAUCAUAUAUCCAGCAAAACUGUCUCUUAAAUAUGAAGGUAAAAUAAAGACAUUUCCAAAUAAACACAAGUUUAGGGAAUUCCUAAAAACCAAACCAAAACUACACGAAACACUAAAGGGAGUUCUUUGGUUAGAAAAUCAAUAAUAUCAGGUAUCAACCCAAGACUAGAACACUGGGCAGAGCACCCAGAAGUCAACCCAGACAGGGAAAUCCCCCCCCCAAAAACAAAGCAAGAUUAUUUUAAAAAAGCCUAAAACAGGGCAACAGCAAUGUUAUUAUAUAAAAGAAGACAGCAUUAAAAUAAUAAAGAGGGAUUAAGAAAUGUAAUCAUACACCUUCCAUAUGAAGAGGAAGGUACAACAAUGCAAAGAAGUAAAAGUCUUAAAUUUAGAAAAAUAGGGGUAAAUAAUACGGUAGCCACAAAGGAGACAAACUGUCCUACUCAUCAAAAUAAAAUACAAGGGAAAAAUACAGACUCAGCAGAAACAAUAUCAACAACAACAAAUAUGAGGAAAGGACAAUAUAGAAAGAUAAUCUACUCAGCAUAUAAAAUCAAGUGGGAAAAGAAACUAUGAACAGCACACAAAAAAAGACAUCAAAAUGAUAGUACUAAAUUCAUAAAAAAAAAAAAACCUACCCAUAAUUACCCUGCAUGUAAAUGGACUAAAUGCACCAAUACAGAGACAGACAGUGGCAGGAUGGAUUGAAAAACAAGAUCCGUCUCUAUGCUGCCUACAAGAGACACACCUUAGACUUAGAGACACACUUAACAUCUACUCAAUGGUAGAAAACUGAAUUAUUUCUGGCAGGAGAGACUCUGAAACCUGCUCUUGAACAUACAGUAGCUACAACAAAAGGAAGAAAUGAUGAAAUAAAAGAACUGAACAGAAGAUUUCAAAGGGCGGUUUGAGACGACAAAGUAUUAUAAGGAAACUUGCAAAGACGAAGAGUUAGAAAAGCGCAAUAGAAGAACACGUUCGGCAUUUCUCAGGGUGAAAGAACUGAAGAAAAACUCAAGUCUCAAGUUCCAAUAUUGAAGGAUUCUAUGGGAAAAAUAUUAAACAAUGCAGGAAGCAUCGAAAGAAGAUGGAUGGAUGGCAUACAGAGUCACUGUUUCAAAAAGAAACAGCCAAUAUCCAAACGUUUCAGGAGGUAGCUAGGCUCAAGAACCUAUGGUACCGAAGGGAGAAGUCCAAGCUGCACUGAAGGCACCGGUGAAAAACAAGGCUCCAGGAACUGACAGAGUACCAGCUGAGAUGUGUCAAUGAACGGAUGCAGCACGGGAAGAGCUCGCUUGUCUAUGCCAAGGAAUUUGGAAGACAGCUACCUGGCCAACCAACUGGAAGAGAUCCACACUUGUGCCCAUUCCAAAGAAAGGCGAUCCAAUAGAAUGUAGAAAUUGUCCAAAAUAUCAUGAAUAUCACACACAGGUAAAAUUUUGCUGAAGAUCAUUCAAAAGCAGUUGCAGCAGUAUAGUGACAGGGAAUUGCCAGAAAUUCAAGCCCAGUUCUGAAGAGUGCGUGGAACGAGGGAUAUCGUUGCUGAUAUCAGAUGGAUCUUGGCUGAAAGCAGAGAAUGCCAAAAAGUCUUUUACCUGUGUUUUAUUGACUAUGCAAAGGCAUUUGACUGUGUGGUUCAUAACAAAUUAUGCACAAUCUUGUGAAGAAUGGGAAUUCCAGAACACUUAAUUGUGCUCAUGAGGAACCUGUGCUCAGACCAAGACGCAGUCAUUAGCACAGAACAAGGGGAUACUAUGAGGUUUUAAGUUGAGAAAGGUGUAUGUUAAGGUUGCAUCCUUUCACCAUAUUUAUUCAAUCUGUAUGGAGGAAAUAAUUCAAGAAGAUAAACUAUAAGAAGAAGAAAGCGGGUAUCAGGAUUGGAAGAAGACUCAUUAACAACCUGCAAUAGGCAGAGGACACAACUUCUCUUGCUGAAAGUGAAGAGGACGUGAAGCAGUCACUGAAGAAAAUCAAUGACCACAGCCUUCACUAUGAAUUACACCACAACACAAAGAAAACAAAAAAUCCUCACAUAUGGAUUAAUAAGCAACAUCAUGGUCGAUGGAGAGAAGAUUGAAGUUGUCAAGGAUGUCUUUAUACUUGGACCCACAAUCCACGCCCAUGGAAGUAGCAGCGAAGAAAUCAAUGACAUAUUGCAUUGGGCAAAUGUACUGCGAAAGCCAUCUUUAAAGUGUUAAAAACCAAAAAUGUCACUUUAAGGACUAAGGUGCGCCUGACCCAGGCCAUGGUAUUUUCAAUCGUCUCAUAUGCAUGCAAAACCUGGAAAAUGAAUGAGGAAGACUGGAGAGGAAUUGAUGCCUUCGAAUUAAGGUCUUGGCCAAGAAUAUUGAAUAUACCAUGGACUGCCACAAGAACGAACAAAUCUGUCUUGGAAGAAGUACAGCCAGAAUGCUCCUUAGAAGGAAGGAUGGUGAGAUUUUCUUACGCACUUUGGACAUGUUAUCAGGAGGCACUGGUCCCUCGAGAAGGACAUCUUGCGUGGUAAAGUAAAGGGUUGGUGAAAAGAGAGAGACCUUUAAGAAGAUGGGUUGACACACUGAGUGCAAUACUAGUCUCAAAGAUAGCAGCCUUUGUGAGGAUGGCGCAGGAUCGGCAGUGUUUCCAUCUGUACAAAGGGGCGCCGUGAGUCAGAAUCCACUGGAUAGCACAUAACAACAAAAACACAAGUAGAUGAGUUGAACUGGGGGAAUCACCACCCUGCAUCCUUCAAGUCUUUGAUGGUGGCAGUUAUCUCUAUAAUUCCUCCAGGAAUGCGGUACUGCUUUUGGUUUACUAUUUUCCUAGAUAGGCAGUUCUAAUGGUUUCCCCUUGGCUUUUCCUACCAUAAUAGCCCUUACUCCACUUGUCUGGAAUCCACAAAGGUAGUUCUGCAAGUUGUUGGGUAUUCCAAUUCCAAUUAUGUGUUUAGGAACUGGGGAAAUCACUACGUGAUGGAUUCAGGGACCCACUGAAUCCACUGUGAAAUGAACCAGAGCUAUGGCUCCAUUAAGAACCUGACUUCCGUACAACCGCUUUCUGACCGGUGGGCCACAGUGACAUCUAGGGUCUCCUGGAUUCAGUGUCAGUUCAGAGGCAGUAUCCAGUAAUUCUUACGCUUGUACAGAUCAAGUAACUACUCGAUAGACUUCCCAUCUAUUUCACUCCUAGGGACACCAUGACUAAGUAGCCAAUGCCAUGAGUCCAUAGGAGUCAGGCUACUCUCAUUACUGCUUUGACUCCACUGUCCAUUAUGUGAACCACACCUACCUUGUUCUUGUCCAUUGAGUCACCCGCAUGGCCCCUAACACCGUGGGGUCCAAUCAGCCCCAUUGUAGUUUGGUGUCUUAAUUCAGUUAGGGCAUCUCCCAUUGUGAGAUCUGACUUCCAUAAAAUAACAAUCACAGCAGUCUUCAAGGAUGCUGGGGCUCCCUUCACAAAUUUAUUCCUCACCAUUGCGGUAAAAGGUGUGUCCUCUGAGCAUUCCAUGUGUGGGUCUGUGGGUCUAAGCCGAGAAAUCCACUCUAACAUGCCAGUUUCCCUAAGCCUUUGGAUACCUUCUUCUACUGUGAAAUCAAGGCGGGUCUGGCACUUCAGCUGGGUUUAGUGUGGGCCACCGCUUAAUCUGUGCUUCACUGAAUCAGUCACAUAAACUAUUAAAUCCUUUCCUAAGCUCUCUAGCUGAAACACUGGAUGAAGGAUCUGUGCUUAGUGGACCCAUAUCAAUGAACUCAGGCUGAGGCAACUUUAUGUUCCUUGCACCAUUAUCCCACACCCAUAAUAGCAAUUCCCACACGUAGUCUCCAGGCUUUUGUUUGUAUGUAUUAGAAAAGUCAAGCAGUUCUUUUUCUUUUGGAGUGUAGUGUACCUCCCCCUGGAUCACAUUUUGUGCUUUACCUUUGAGGAUAGCAGGGACUUCAGUCUAGUUAUAGGCCUAGAAGCAACAAUGGGUGUUGGGAAUGUGUCUGGAGAACAUUCAGCAAUGUCUUGUAAGACAUCUGCCUUAAGGGAUGAUGCCCCAGGCAGUGACUCAGACAUCACCCUAGUGGACGACUGAGACAAAGGCUCUUCAGACACAACUGGGUUAAUCUCAGCAGAUGGGGGUCUGAGGGGCUAACAGUUUUCCUGGGGAGGGUGGUUUAGCAGCCAAACAUGGAGUAAUCCCUUCAGGCGGGAGCUGCUAUUUGGUGAUGGCCUUGCUAUUCCUCAAUGAAACUCAUUUUCUUUCACUCCUAAUAGAGUGUGGGAUUUUGUUCUUCAACAACACAAACAAACAGAAAACAUGACCAGAGCCUUUGCAGCAGCAAAUUAGCUAGGAGAAGAUUAUAAUGUAAUGCUUUCAAGUUCUGAUUUAAAGUAGAAUUCUAACCCAGACAAAAUGUGAGGGCAAUCAAGGCAUUUCCAGACAAGUAAGUAAGAACUUAAACAUCUACUUGCAAGGCAUGCACCUUGAGGAAACUGUUGGAGAAAGGAAAUCAGCACAAAGGACUGAUGAGAAAAAAAAAAAAAAAAAAAGACUGUUUAGGCAUAGAAAAUAAAAACAGGCAUCUGAUCUGUCUGUAAAGAGACUAAAGUAACUCUAAGCGCUCAAUGUAGUCUUUCACCUUAGGUUUGGCGUUGGCUGUCUAGCAGCUCCAGGUAAGCUUUCCCCCAGGUUCUACCCUCCUUCCCUAGGAAUCAACCCAUCACCAUGAAGGAAAUGAGUUGCUUUGCGGAUCAAGCUAAAGAAUGUGAAGACUUAAGGCAAACUUUUGGUAUCAGCCUCCUCAGGUUUCUGACAUGUCCAGCAAAGUGAGAGAUCAUGGAAACUCCUUGUUUCCAUUCUCAUCUGGAGAGCUAACAUUCUGAGCAACGUGAUUGUUAACCAACCAGUCUUGAGAAUAUCCGUCCUGUGGCUGCUUUGUAACCAAGGUGAAACCCCCUUGACCUCCUGUCUUUCAAUUGUGUCUUGUAGCCAGUCAAUCGGCUCACGUAAGCAAUAAUGACAACGAUUGUGCUUUACUUGUCGCGUCUUUGAUUGACCUUCGUCACUGUGAACCAACAAGAAAAACUGUAAUUUUAUUCUCCCCCUUCAGCACUCUGAUUACUCCUGAUUUGCCUUCUUCCCGUGAGAUUCCGGAACGUCAGCCUGAGACUUUGCGAUCUCCCACUGCCACGUCUCCGCUGCAAUAAAUCUCUUUCGAUUUUACCUUAAGGGAGCUGGGAAGUCUUUUCUCUCCAACAUUUUGGCGUAGUUAAUCGGCAGGGUUUUUGGAGUUACCCUUCCCCCGGAGACCCGAAGACCUGAAACACGGGAUUCCGGCACCAAGGGCCCCUUUGUGUGCCCCUCGCUGCAGCUUUUUCGGACCCUUCUGGCUGUCUGGGGGGAGAAGGGAGCAGAGAGACUGGAGGACUUCAUUACCACCAAGCAGAAGAGCCAGGAGCAUUUGCUUUGAACCAGGGGCCCCUGCACUGAGAAGCUGCUAGAUCUGGGGAAGACUGAUGACAAGGACCUUCUCCCAGAGCCAACAGAGAGAGAAAGACUUUCCUAGGAGCUGACGCCCUGAAUUCAGACUUCUAGUCUCCUAGACUGUGAGAGAAUAAAUUACUCUUUGUAAAAGCCA